CUCUCCCUUACCUCUACCCCUAGACAGGGUUUCAUGAAUUCCAAGCAGGGGCCUCAACUCACAUUUAGCCAGGAAUGAUCUUGAACUGACCUCCUGAGUGCUGGGGUUACAGGUGUGAUCACCUUGCUGCUUUAGGAGGUGCUGGGAACAACCCAGGGCAUCGUGUGUGUUAAGCACACACUCCCAGCUAAGCUACAUCCCCAGUCCCUCUUUCUAGAAAACAUCAUUAGUUAAAUAUAUUCAGGGGAGAAGAGGUCACAGGUCUGGCCAGCUGCCCCAUCCUUUAGUGCAGGGUCAGCUCCCAGAACUGCUCUGCUCUGCUCUGCAAGCUGGUGAUUCUCCUUACCUGUGAUUACUCCAGAUCUGCCUAUUUCCAAGAUGCCACAGAUCGGAAGAG
rnacentral:lncRNA from 1 species